GAUGAACGCUGGCGGCGUGCUUAACACAUGCAAGUCGAACGAUGAUCCUGGUGCUUGCACUGGGGGAUUAGUGGCGAACGGGUGAGUAACACGUGAGUAACCUGCCCCUGACUCUGGGAUAAGCCUGAGAAAUUGGGUCUAAUACCGGAUAUGAGCAUCUGCCGCAUGGUGGGUGUUGGAAAGAUUUUUUGGUUGGGGAUGGGCUCGCGGCCUAUCAAGCUUGUUGGUGGGGUAGUGGCCUACCAAGGCGACGACGGGUAGCCGGCCUGAGAGGGUGACCGGCCACACUGGGACUGAGACACGGCCCAGACUCGUACGGGAGGCAGCAGUGGGGAAUAUUGCACAAUGGGCGAAAGCCUGAUGCAGCGACGCCGCGUGAGGGAUGACGGCCUUCGGGUUGUAAACCUCUUUCAGUAAGGAAGAAGCGAAAGUGACGGUACUUGCAGAAGAAGCGCCGGCUAACUACGUGCCAGCAGCCGGCGGUAAUACGUAGGGCGCGAGCGUUAUCCGGAAUUAUUGGGCGUAAAGAGCUCGUAGGCGGUUUGUCGCGUCUGCCGUGAAAGUCCGGGGCUUAACUCCGGAUCUGCGGUGGGUACGGGCAGGCUAGAGUGCAGUAGGGGAGACUGGAAUUCCUGGUGUAGCGGUGAAAUGCGCAGAUAUCAGGAGGAACACCGAUGGCGAAGGCAGGUCUCUGGGCUGUAACUGACGCUGAGGAGCGAAAGCGUGGGGAGCAAACAGGAUUAGAUACCCUGGUAGUCCACGCUGUAAACGAUGGAAGCUAGCCGUUGGCAAGUUUACUUGUCGGUGGCGCAGCUAACGCAUUAAGCUUCCCGCCUGGGGAGUACGGUCGCAAGAUUAAAACUCAAAGGAAUUGACGGGGGCCCGCACAAGCGGUGGAGCAUGUGGUUUAAUUCGACGCAACGCGCAGAACCUUACCAGCCCUUGACAUGUCUAUGACCGGUACCAGAGAUGGAACCUUCCCUUCGGGGCAUAGAGCACAGGUGCUGCAUGGCUGUCGUCAGCUCGUGUCGUGAGAUGUUGGGUUAAGUCCCGCAACGAGCGCAACCCCCGUCCUUAGUUGCUACCAUUUAGUUGAGCACUCUAAGGAGACUGCCGGUGAUAAGCCGCGAGGAAGGUGGGGAUGACGUCAAGUCCUCAUGCCCUUACGGGCUGGGCUACACACGUGCUACAAUGGCGGUGACAAUGGGACGCUAAGGGGCAACCCUUCGCAAAUCUCAAAAAGCCGUCUCAGUUCGGAUUGGGCUCUGCAACUCGAGCCCAUGAAGUUGGAAUCGCUAGUAAUCGUGGAUCAGCAUGCCACGGUGAAUACGUUCCCGGGCCUUGUACACACCGCCCGUCACACCAUGGGAGUUGGUUCUACCUGAAGGCAGUGCGCUAACCCGCAAGGGAGGCAGCUGACCACGGUAGGGUCAGCGACUGGGGUG
rnacentral:rRNA from 1 species